AAAAAAAAAAAUAAAAAAAAAAAGGAAAAAAAAAUAUUGACAGUAUGUAAAUUGCAUUAAUAUAAUGCUUGACUUUGAGGAAAACAUAAAAACAUCCAUUAAGGCUACAGAUGAAUUCAAGUUACAGAAAUUUCCUUGCAUAAUGAAGCUUAGGAACAGGUUUAUUGGUUCAGUAAUGAUUGAAAGAUGGAAACAGAAUCCAAACCUCUCCACCAAAGGGCGAAGU
rnacentral:misc_RNA from 1 species